CCUGCCCCUAGAGGCGUUACAGGUGUGGCUGUCGUGUGCCACAUUUGUGUCAUUAGGUGGCAGAGAGAAUCAGGCUAUGUCUACGCUCAGUGUUCCACGUCCCAUGAACACUCAGAAUGAUUAGUAGCCUGACAGG
ensembl:snoRNA